rnacentral:rRNA from 1 species
CACCUCUAGCAUAACCAGUAUUAGAGGCACUGCCUGCCCAGUGACAAACGUUAAACGGCCGCGGUAUUCUGACCGUGCAAAGGUAGCAUAAUCACUUGUUCUCCAAAUAAGGACUUGUAUGAAUGGCCACACGAGGGUUUUACUGUCUCUUACUUUUAAUCAGUGAAAUUGACCUUCCCGUGAAGAGGCGGGAAUAAUAUAAUAAGACGAGAAGACCCUAUGGAGCUUCAAUUAAUUAACCCAAAUAGCCACAAACUAAUACCAUCAAGGGAUAUAAAACUUUAUAUGGGUUAACAAUUUCGGUUGGGGUGACCUCGGAGCACAAAAAAUCCUCCGAGUGAUUAAAGCCUAGGCCUACCAGCCAAAGCAUACUAUCACUUAUUGAUCCAAAAUUUUUGAUCAACGGAACAAGUUACCCUAGGGAUAACAGCGCAAUCCUAUUCUAGAGUCCAUAUCAACAAUAGGGUUUACGACCUCGAUGUUGGAUCAGGACAUCCUAAUGGUGCAGCCGCUAUUAAGGGUUCGUUUGUUCAACGAUUAAAGUCCU